rnacentral:rRNA from 1 species
AUUGAACGCUGGCGGCAUGCCUUACACAUGCAAGUCGAACGGUAACGGGCCUUCGGGUGCCGACGAGUGGCGAACGGGUGAGUAAUACAUCGGAACGUGCCCGAUCGUGGGGGAUAACGAGGCGAAAGCUUUGCUAAUACCGCAUACGAUCUACGGAUGAAAGCAGGGGACCGCAAGGCCUUGCGCGGACGGAGCGGCCGAUGGCAGAUUAGGUAGGUGGUGGGAUAAAAGCUUACCAAGCCGACGAUCUGGAGCUGGUCUGAGAGGAUGAUCAUCCACACUGGGACUGAGACACGGCCCAGACUCCUACGGGAGGCAGCAGGGUGGAAUUUUGGACAAUGGGCGCAAGCCUGUUCCAGCCAUGCCGCGUGCAGGAUGAAGGCCUUCGGGUUGUAAACUGCUUUUGUACGGAACGAAAAGCCUUCUUCUAAUACAGGAGGGUCAUGACGGUACCGUAAGAAUAAGCACCGGCUAACUACGUGCCAGCCGCCGCAGUAA